UGUGCAAGUCUGCCUUCUAUCUCACUUUUCACGAAGCUGGGGCUAUCCAGUAUUGCGCGGCUCUCGGAGAAGACACUAAUUUAUUGAGUACUGCAAACAACCUCACAGCGUUGAGUUGUCCAACAGAUUGCUAGAGAGAUGAGACUGCAGAGGCUUGCAGCUGCCCUGAUUCUGAUGGUCGCUACUUUCCAAAUGGUGGCGGCAGAAGGUGAUGAUGAUAUUUCCAACGGGUAUCCGCUUCCUGGCAAAUACAAGCUGGUGCAAUCUGCCAGAGUGGGCGUCGACGUACACUUCGAUGCCGGGAAACCAGCUGACAUUGACACCAAACUCAAGAUGAAUGGCUAAAGGUAUUGUUUGCGAAUCGGUUUCACGGACGGUCAUAGUAAAGGAAGACCACGCCAGCAUUUAAAUAAAUGUAAAGGCAACAUGAACAGAGAGGGAUCCA